rnacentral:rRNA from 1 species
AUUGAACGCUGGCGGCAGGCCUAACACAUGCAAGUCGAGCGGGGUUUUCGGACCUAGCGGCGGACGGGUGAGUAAUGCGUAGGAAGCUACCCGAUAGAGGGGGAUACCAGUUGGAAACGACUGUUAAUACCGCAUAAUGUCUACGGACCAAAGUGUGGGACCUUCGGGCCACAUGCUAUCGGAUGCGCCUACGUGGGAUUAGCUAGUUGGUGAGGUAAUGGCUCACCAAGGCGACGAUCCCUAGCUGGUUUGAGAGGAUGAUCAGCCACACUGGAACUGAGAGACCGUCCAGAAUCCUACGGGAGGCAGCAGUGGGGAAUAUUGGACAAUGGGCGCAAGCCUGAUCCAGCCAUGCCGCGUGUGUGAAGAAGGCCUUCGGGUUGUAAAGCACUUUCAGUAGGGAGGAAGCGUUGUGUGUUAAUAGUACACAGCGUUGACGUUACCUACAGAAGAAGCACCGGCUAACUCUGUGCCAGCCGCCGCCGUAACAC